GAUCCUGGCUCAGGAUGAACGCUAGCUACAGGCUUAACACAUGCAAGUCGAGGGGAAACGAUAUUGGAAGCUUGCUUCCGAUAGGCGUCGACCGGCGCACGGGUGAGUAACGCGUAUCCAACCCUGCCCACCCACCUUGGGGUAGUAACCUUGCGAAAGUAAGACUAAUACCCAACUGAUAUCUCUAGAAGACAUCUGAAAGAGAUUAAAGAUUUAUCGGUGAUGGAUGGGGAGUGCGU
rnacentral:rRNA from 1 species